CAUUCCUACGCGUUCCUUUGCGUCUUCACGCAUAAUCUUUUACAAAAAAAUUAAUAAUUUCCCUAAAAUUUCAUAAACAAUUACAUUAAAAAGUGAAAAGAAAUAUUUAUCCGUAAAAUCAAGAAGUUAAAGUUUUGGAUCACCUGUAAGUUGUUAAAAAAAAACAGAAAGUAAAUAUUCAUCAGAGAGACGCCGAAGGAGACGCUUUGUACAAUUUAUAUUUUAUUUGAUAACCCUUGAAGUUCUUCCAAAAGACAGAACUACACAACGCUGAAGAUUUUGAAGGAUGGGUUAAGAAAUACUCCCGGAAACUAUCACCCGGAAAGGAAAACCA